rnacentral:rRNA from 1 species
GAUGAACGCUGACAGAAUGCUUAACACAUGCAAGUCAACUUGAAUUUGGGUUUUUAACUUAGGUUUGGGUGGCGGACGGGUGAGUAACGCGUAAAGAACUUGCCUCACAGCUAGGGACAACAUUUGGAAACGAAUGCUAAUACCUAAUAUUAUGAUAAUAGGGCAUCCUAUAAUUAUGAAAGCUAUAAGCGCUGUGAGAGAGCUUUGCGUCCCAUUAGCUAGUUGGAGAGGUAACGGCUCACCAAGGCGAUGAUGGGUAGCCGGCCUGAGAGGGUGAUCGGCCACAAGGGGACUGAGACACGGCCCUUACUCAUACGGGAGGCAGCAGUGGGGAAUAUUGGACGAUGGACCGAGAGUCUGAUCCAGCAAUUCUGUGUGCACGAUGAAGUUUUUCGGAAUGUAAAGUGCUUUCAGUUGGGAAGAAACAAAUGACGGUACCAACAGAAGAAGUGACGGCUAAAUACGUG